rnacentral:lncRNA from 1 species
AUCUGGGACCGAGAUCUCUUUCUUUGCCUCCCCCACUUCACCUGGGUACCCCUGUGAUGGUUACUAUUGAGUGUCAACUUGACUGGAUUGAAGGAUGCAAAGUAUUGUUCCUGGGUGUGUCUGUGAGGGUGUUGCCAAAGGAGAUUAACCUUUGAGUCAGUGGACUGGGAAAGGCAGACCCACCCCCAGUCUGGGUGGGCACAAUCUAAUCAGCUGCCAGAGUGGCCAGAAUAAAAGCAGGUAGAAGAACGUGGAAAUUCUAGACUGGUUUAGUCUUCCAGCCUACAUCUUUCUCCCGUACUGGAUGCUUCCUGCCCGCGAACAUCAGACUCCAAGUUCUUCAGCUUUGGGACUCUUGGACCUUCGACCACAGACUGAAGGCUGCACUGUUGGCUUCCCUACUUUUGGGGUUUUGGGAUUCGGACUGGCUUUCUUGCACCUCAGCUUGCAGAUGGCCUAUUGUAGGACCUCACCUUGUGAUCAUGGCACACUGGCCCAACCGCCAACUGCCAUCUUUAUUUCUUUGCCUGAGGACUUUGACUGCUGGGUCCUCUUUGCUGAAGAGAAGGCCAGAAAUGUCAAGGAUGCCUCCUGGGAGCAGCCUUCAAGCAAUGGCUGCAGCAUCCCCGGGGAGGCCACCGGAUGAAGUUCAGACUCUAAGUUGGUGUGCAAUGCCCUGCGUGCUCUAGCCCUCGCCCACCUCACUUCUGGAUACCCCUCUUCCCACACUUGCAAGACUCUCCUCACACCACUCGCCCUACCCGAAGACCCACCCCGCAACCCCAUCCCCUCCACUUGGUGAAUAUUACUCACCUUUCAAGACUCAGCUCAAUGGCUGCUUCCUCUAGGAAUUCAUUUCUGACCACCCUCCCUCAGUGAAAGGCAAUCAUUCCUGCCAGGGAGCCCUAGGUGACCUGAACUUGCCCCUUGCUCCCUCGUUCCUUGGGGGGGUGCAUGUGCUAUCCCCAUCCCUGUGACCCAUUGUGGGGCUUACUGUUCAUGGGGCCACCUCUCCCACUCAGUGGUGAGCCCCUUGAGGGCAGGGGACAGCCUGAUCCAUCUCCCAGCUGUCAGGCCAGCUCCCUAAUAAAUGUGUCCUGAAUGAAUGACGGUGUCUCUGAGAUGAGAGGAGGAAAGGCAGGCAGGAGGUAGUUGGGGCAGGCGGCUGCUGGAACUCAUGGUGCAGGGUGUGUUUGGUCCCAUCAUGGUCUCAGAACCUGUCCUCCCAUGCCCCAGGAGCUCAGCAGUUGGGCCCAUUGAAUCCAAUGGGUGCUCUGAUCUCUUCCUUUCAGCUCUGCCUGCCCUGGUCAACGAGCCCACAUCUAACGCAGGGUCUCCCUUGUACUGGCCCCAUCCCAGGUGAUCAGUGGAGAUAAGCUGAUAUUCUGGAAAGAGCACCAACCUGAGUUUAAAUUCCACUGACUAUGGGUCCUUGAGCAAAUUAAAUGGCCUCCGUUUUCUCAUCUGAACCUCAGUUUCCCCAACUGUAAUGGGUAAUAAUUGACUCUCCCUCACAGGGAAGCUGUAGGCAUUUGAGAUGAUAACCAUGAAGGGCCUGGCACAUCUACUGGAAGGUGAGUUGUGCAGGACAUGGGAGGUGUGGAACACAUUGGGCAUUGAAAUUUGUCAAUUUCAGCCCAGUCCUCCACUUCACAGAUGGGAAGCCAGGCCCAGAGAGCAGUUACCUUCGCAAGGUCACGGAGACUGUCAGGGACAGGCCUGCAGGUCUGAGCUGCUUGGCUGUGUUUGUUCCACUGCACCAAGUGGCUGAUUUGCAGCCAUCGUUGUUUAGCUAAAAAUAGUUUAAAAUCUCUUCUUCCCUUUUCCCCAUGGUGGUCCUUGUGCAGAGUUCACUGAUGACUCCCCAUUCACUACCCUACCUUGGCAAGCCUGCCCCACACCUGGCUGCCCAUACCUGCGCACACCUCACCUUCAUCAGCAAAGAUCUAUCCACUCCCCAGGUUGUGGAUCUCCAGGGCUGCAAGGCUGAGGGCACUGAAAGAGGCUGGGGACUUGUGGAGUCGUGGAUCCACCUGCCCUCUCUCUCCCACCAUCCCCACCCAUGACCCCAACAUCACUCAGCAAGAAGGCCAGACUUGGAGACCAGCUGGGGGGCAGAGGACCCCUUAUUCCCUUAGCAAAUGUCUGUUGCCCUCCCAUGAAGCUCCAAGCUCUGUGCUAAGCUUUAGGGAGGCAGAGCUAAAACUGUCACUAGAUGCACCCCAAGAUAUUCAGGGUUAGGGUAAGUGAAGAGACAAAGCAAGCAAAGAAUGAGCUCUUUAUGUGAGAGCCAACACUCCUCAAGGCAAACACCAGGAACUGGGGGAAUGGGGGCAGCAGGAGUGGGUGGGCACUGGCCUGGGGACACUUCCUUCAGGACUCACAAAAUCCUGAGCAUCACGGGGCCUGGCAGCAAACCCCAGAUCCCCCAGAAAAUGCCUGUGAUCGGAUCAGCUUGCAGAGGGGAGCCCAACUUGGUGAGAAGAAAGUAGGGGACCAUCCUCUCCCCUCCCGCAGCUCUCCAUUCUCCCAUCCCCCACAGCCCCAGCUCCUGCCCCUCCGCCUCUCACACCGUCCUAUUAAUAACUUGUGAUACCAUUAGCUUUUGCUGUCACCAGCAAUGACAACUCAGAAGCCCCCGAGAGCUGUCUGCAAAGACAAUAAACGAGAACUCUUAAUUAACACCUCCCUUAACUAAAUAAAUUAAUUUUAUGCAG